UACGAGGGGGGCAAAUGUUGUUCGGAAUCACUGGGCGUAAAGGGAGCGUAGGCGGGUUCUUAAGUUAGGUGUUUAAUCCCGGGGCCCAACCCCGGACCGGCACUUAAAACUGAGAAUCUUGAAUAGUGGAGAGGUCGGUGGAAUUGGGGGUGUGAGCGGUGGAAUGCGUAGAGAUCCCCAAGAACACCAGUUGCGAAGGCGGCCGACUGGACACAUAUUGACGCUGAGGCUCGAAAGCAUGGGGAGCAAACAGG
rnacentral:rRNA from 1 species